GACAGAGGGUGCAAACGUUGUUCGGAAUUACUGGGCGUAAAGCGCGUGUAGGCGGUCUCGCAAGUCGGGUGUGAAAGCCCCGGGCUCAACCCGGGAAGUGCAUUCGAUACUGCGAGGCUAGAGUCCCGGAGAGGAUGGUGGAACUCUCGGUGUAGAGGUGAAAUUCGUAGAUAUCGAGAAGAACACCGGUGGCGAAGGCGGCCAUCUGGACGGUGACUGACGCUGAGACGCGAAAGCGUGGGGAGCAAACAGG
rnacentral:rRNA from 1 species